UACAGAGGGGGCAAGCGUUGUUCGGAAUUACUGGGCGUAAAGGGCGCGUAGGCGGCCCGCUAAGUCGAACGUGAAAUCCCCGGGCUCAACCCGGGAACUGCGUCCGAUACUGGUGGGCUCGAAUCCGGGAGAGGGAUGCGGAAUUCCAGGUGUAGCGGUGAAAUGCGUAGAUAUCAGGAGGAACACCGGUGGCGAAGGCGGUUCUCUGGGCAUGAUCUGACGCUGAGGAGCGAAAGUGUGGGGAGCGAACAGG
rnacentral:rRNA from 1 species